rnacentral:tRNA from 1 species
GGGAAUAUAACUCAGUGGUAGAGUAUUUGCCUAGCAUGCACAAGACCCUGGGUUCUUUCCCCAGCACCACCA